ACUUCAAUAAUAUCUAAAGUUCAUUUCCAUUUAAAUCCUUAUCAAUCAAAAGUGUAAGCAAUGUUUACAUGUGGCCCAGUAAAUUUCCAUUACCCUGUGGCCUUAACCUUCAUGUGUGAUGUCAAAGGUCACAGGUCACAUCAUGACCUCUCCAAAGCUCAUGCAUUUUGGAGCACAUGCUUGCCAGUGUGUAUUGGACCUCCAUGCUGCCUGGUUGUCACCCAGCUGACUGUAAGCUGAACUAUGUAAAGACACAUAUUUUUCUGAACCUCAUCAACAAUUCUACUCCUCAACUCAACGCAACUAAUAUUCAUCAAGUCCUCAGCCGCAGCCAUGUAUUAUGAACUGUAAUUCCUUAAAUAUCAAAACAAUAAACCCUGUUGAUGCGA